GACGAACGCUGGCGGCGCGCCUAAUACAUGCAAGUCGAGCGUGAAGCGGGACUUCGGUCCCGUGGAAAGCGGCGAACGGGUGCGUAACACGUGAGCAACCUGCCCCGAAGACCGGGAUAACACCGGGAAACCGGUGCUAAUACCGGAUGUCCUCUUCCGACCGCAUGAUUGGACGAGGAAAUGGAUUCCGCUUCGGGAUGGGCUCGCGGUCUAUCAGCUUGUUGGUGGGGUAACGGCCUACCAAGGCGACGACGGAUAGCUGGUCUGAGAGGACGAUCAGCCACACUGGGACUGAGACACGGCCCAGACUCCUACGGGAGGCAGCAGUAGGGAAUCUUGCGCAAUGGGCGAAAGCCUGACGCAGCGACGCCGCGUGCGGGAUGAAGGUCUUCGGAUUGUAAACCGCUUUCAGCAGGGACGAAAUUGACGGUACCUGCAGAAGAAGGCCCGGCCAACUACGUGCCAGCCGCCGCCGUAAGAC
rnacentral:rRNA from 1 species